AGAGCAUUUAACAUAACUGUCUUCAUCAUCUCCUUCUCUACAUUAAAAAUUAUGGUUCACACAGACGUUAUUGGUGAUUCACUCUUGAGUCAUGAAAAGUCAACCUUGAGCCACAGAAAGUCAACCUUGAGCCAUGCAGAGUGGAGAGUCAUACAUGCCAUUCCUGGGACCAUCAAAAAUGGCAGAGGUCACACAAAAGGCAAAACUUUUAAGAGGUGUUUUAAACGUCGUAUGGGCCAAAGAGAAGCUGGAUUUCCUAUUGGAGUCAGCUGUAACACACGUGUGAUGAAAUUGGCCUGUGAGGACAAGGCAGUGAGCAGAGAGGACAGCAGUCCUUAUGAGAUCAAGCUCUAAGGUAUCCUAGAUACAUUUGGAGAAUUCACCUGAGCUACAGGAUGUGAAAAGUUGCUAAAACUGCUGUGAGAUUCUGGCUAAGAAAGUUUCAUGAGAAGUUUUACAGAAAAAUGUGAACAGAAGACAGAACUAGAUAUAAAUUUGAAUGUUUUGAGAAGAAUGCGAAGAAGAAAGGAAGAGUGAGCCUCUCUUUCCCAUCGUUACCCUCCAUUGUCCUCUUGACACCCUGCUUUCACAGAGAAAGAGUUUGAGACCCUCUCCCAGGAGCCAAGGAGAGGGGAACAGCUGGCUUCACAUCAUCUUUCUAUUCAACAAGAUACAAAAAGCUGAAGCCAGGAUGAUAGAAAAGCAACAAAGAAGACACGGUCCUUACUCAUUUCCCUUCCC
rnacentral:lncRNA from 1 species